rnacentral:hammerhead_ribozyme from 1 species
GCACUGUUGAAGGGUCCCAGGAUAGGACGAAACUGCCGUCCAGUAC